CAAGUGGCUUCAGUCUCGUGGAUGGAUGCCUCUUCUCAACCCCUCUUCACCUCCUCUGCAGCAGUCUGAUCGGGCUCCGUAGGGGGCCACUCUCCCACCUGCUGGGGCCCGGGAUCUGGGGAAGGACACCAGCAGCAGUCCCCAGAAAAGGGAUCAUCUUGGCCCGGGUCUGGACGCUGGAGAAGGCAGUGCUGCCUGAAAAAGACAGAAAGGGGAAGCGCAUCACUCGGAGCUCAGGGACAACUUUCACGUGUCACUUCUUCCUGCUUCUGGGAAGAGAAAAUGGGGGAAGAGAUGGGGCUUGCUCAAAUGAGGUCCUGCCCAGAACCUCAGGCAGGACGCACCCAGCACCCACUCCCUAUCUGAGGGAGGCAGCCCUGGACUACGAAUUCAAGGGGGUGGUCAAGGUGAGAUUUCUAAGAAAGUUGCCCUCCUCCCAUCCCCCACGGGCUGGUGAGAGUUUCACCAAAAUUCCCCCACACACCCUGGCUGGAGGCCGCCGGGCCCUCCCUCAGGGAGCUGAGCUUUCAAAAUAAAGUUUGCUGAGAGCCUC